rnacentral:antisense_RNA from 1 species
CCUUACUGACCUGCAUUAUCUUGUGGAUACCUGAGUGAAUUCCACACCACCCAUUUUAUAGAUGAAGCCACUGAGACGUGGAGCAACUGACUGAGUAGUCACUGCCCCACCCCUGCCUGGAGCCUCACACAUGACUUCUCUUAGUGACCACAGGUUGGUUGAGGGGUUUAACAAGGCUAAGAAGGUGAGACGUGGUCUUGUAACACAGUGGUUAAGAAUGUGACUUUGGAGCCAGCCUGCUAGGGGCUGAAUUCUGACUCAGCCAUUUAUUAACUGUGUGACCUUAGGGAGGAGGACCUGGUUGAUAGAAGAAUUUAUCUCAUAGUCUUAACAUCCACUGUAAUUCCGAACUUUGAGGACGAUAGAGAUCAGUGGGCUUUGACUGCCCAGCAUGCAGUCUCCAUUCUUAGAUGGAGUCUCACUCUGUAGCCCAAGCUGGAGUGGCGUGAUCUCGACUCACUGCAACCUCCGCCUCCUGGGCUCAAGUGAUUCUCGUGCCUCAGCCUCCUGAGUAGCUGGGACUACAGGUCAUAGAAUUUUCCACACUCCUUGACGGAGGUUCUUAACCCUUAUCCAUCAGCAUUCUCAGACAGCACCUCCGGUUAGGGACAGUAUCUGACCGUCCGACAUCCCUGCAGCCCCCAUGCUGUCACACAGACUCAGCCUCAGGUAGAUGGUUUCCGUAGAUGGUGGCUUUCUUUGGACCCUUGAUAUCAACCAGUUACUAUUUGGGGACCAGAUGUGCAGAGGUAAUGAAUACCAGGGAAUCAGGAAACCACUGGAUCAGUUCUUUGAGCCAUAGAACAACACUCAUCCCAGCAGCUGGGAAGCUAUCUGCAAAAGUCCAUCUGCAGAAAGGGCUUCCUGGUCUUGCGUGUGGCUGGGCCAUUUCUCUGGAUGCAGGUUUUUCAUUAUACAGUCUUCUCAAAGGACCACCUGCUCUCAACACC